CACAAAGGACCCACAAACACAGGUCUUCUAUGCACUCUAUUCUCCCAUCUUUAAAAGAAAACGUUGAUGCACAAACUGCAGCAGUGGGGACCCUGGCUGUCCCCACACCUCUUUUCAGGUCACAGACCCGGCCUUGAUCACACCCCAUGGAGGCCUGACACCCCUCCCUGCAGCCACCCCCAGCCUCAGGAGAGGAGGCUCAGCGCCCUGGUGCUCACUGCUGCACACAGAUGACAUACGUUAAGGCUGGUCCCGUCUCACCACCUGGAAGGAGAACCUCUGGUCAGGAUUGGCUUCUAAGAAAGACUCAUGUUCCCUGAGGCCAGAGUCCGGAAAAAGAGGAGGAGGACGGCAGAGAAGGAGCCGGGAAUGGCUGUUCCUCAGGGACGGUUGACCUUCAGGGAUGUGGCCAUCAGAUCUCCCAGGAGGAGUGGAAAUGCCUGGACCCUGCUCAGUGGGCCUCGCACCGAGACGUGAUGCUGGAGAACUACAGGAACCUGGUGUCCCUGGGCGAUGCUUUUUAUUGGAACUCAGCACGCAUGACAUGAAGAAGCCCCAGCAGUCCAUGGAGAGACCAACCUGAAGAGGCACUAAAUCUCCCAGCCAUCAGCCUUGGCCGAGCCCUCAGCCAGUAGCCCAACGCUGAACCUGCUAGGUGCGUGAGUGAGCCGUUUUGGAAGUGGGUCCUCCAGCCCUAGGUGACAUUCUGGGGAGCAAAAGAGCCUUCCCCUCCACACUCUCCCCAGAGUACAGAUUUGUGAGCUAAUGAAAUACUUGUUUGAUUCACUGAGUUUUGAGGUGAUUUGUGACACAGCAGUAGAUAGCUUGAUUUUAUUGCGGAGAACCAAGCUUGAAAAUGUGGAGAAAACAUGGCAACUUCUGAGAAACAGGAAGGAGGAAUGGACUUGUAAACCUUAUGGGUUGGGCACCACAACUGGAAUGAAUGGCUACUACUCGUUUGCAGUCUUAUUGUCAUUCUUCUUAGUCCCAGGUCUCUGUGAAGAGGCCUCCUGCUGUGCUGACUCAAACACGCACUCACCCUUUGGCUACCAAUGGGCAGAAAAUGAGAAUGACAGCCCCAGUAAUCCGUAACCAAGGGGAGAGCGACAAUUAGUCAAAAGGCAAUAUAAAUAUAGGAAGUCUUACUAGUUUCUAUCACUGCUAUGACAGAUUACUGCAAACUUAGUGGUUUUAACCAACACAAAUUUAUUACCAUACAGUCUGGAGGCCAGAAGUCCAAGUGGGGUGUCCCUGGGCUAAAAUCAAGGUGUCAACAGGGCUGUAGUCCUGGAAGCUCUGGCAGUGACUUGGUUUUCUUGCAUUUCAACUUCUAGAGAGGCUGCCUGCAAUCCUUGGUUUCUGUCCCCCUUCCUUCAUUUUCAAAGGCAGCAUUGUUGCAUUGCUGAGUGACUUUCUUCCAUGUCAUAACUUCCUCCGAGUGACUCUUUUCCUACCUGCCUCUUUCACCUCCCCUUGUGAUUACAUUGGGGCCACCCUGAUAAUCCAGGAUAAUCUCCCCAUCUCAAAUUGCCUAAUUAAUCACAUCUGCAAGGUCCCUCGUUUUUUUUUUUUGUAUGUC